rnacentral:misc_RNA from 1 species
CUUGGUCAUUUAGAGGAAGUAAAAGUCGUAACAAGGUCCCUGUUGGUGAACCAGCGGAGGGAUCAUUACCGAGUUUACAACUCCCAAACCCCUGUGAACAUACCUUUAUGUUGCCUCGGCGGAUCAGCCCGCGCCCCGUAAAACGGGACGGCCCGCCGCAGGAACCACAAAACUCUGAUUUUAGUGUAACUUCUGAGUCUAAAAAACAAAUAAAUCAAAACUUUCAACAACGGAUCUCUUGGUUCUGGCAUCGAUGAAGAACGCAGCAAAAUGCGAUAAGUAAUGUGAAUUGCAGAAUUCAGUGAAUCAUCGAAUCUUUGAACGCACAUUGCGCCCGCCAGUAUUCUGGCGGGCAUGCCUGUUCGAGCGUCAUUUCAACCCUCAAGCCCCCGGGUUUGGUGUUGGGGAUCGGGCUGUACUCCGGCCCGGCCCCGAAAUCUAGUGGCGGUCUCGCUGCAGCCUCCAUUGCGUAGUAGCUAACACCUCGCAACUGGAACGCGGCGCGGCCAAGCCGUUAAACCCCCAACUUCUGAAUGUUGACCUCGGAUCAGGUAGGAAUACCCGCUGAGCUUAAGCAUAUCAAUAAGCGGAGGA